GGGUCAAAUACUAUUUUCAUAGC
rnacentral:snRNA from 1 species